rnacentral:rRNA from 1 species
CCUACGGGUGGCAGCAGUGGGGAAUAUUGCACAAUGGGCGCAAGCCUGAUGCAGCCAUGCCGCGUGUGUGAAGAAGGCCUUCGGGUUGUAAAGCACUUUCAGCGGGGAGGAAGGCGUUAAGGUUAAUAACCUUGUCGAUUGACGUUACCCGCAGAAGGAGCACCGGCUAACUCCGUGCCAGCAGCCGCGGUAAUACGGAGGGUGCAAGCGUUAAUCGGAAUUACUGGGCGUAAAGCGCACGCAGGCGGUCUGUCAAGUCGGAUGUGAAAUCCCCGGGCUCAACCUGGGAACUGCAUUCGAAACUGGCAGGCUAGAGUCUUGUAGAGGGGGGUAGAAUUCCAGGUGUAGCGGUGAAAUGCGUAGAGAUCUGGAGGAAUACCGGUGGCGAAGGCGGCCCCCUGGACAAAGACUGACGCUCAGGUGCGAAAGCGUGGGGAGCAAACAGGAUUAGAUACCCCGGUAGUC